rnacentral:misc_RNA from 1 species
GCAACUAUGCCUGACUAUUGGCUUCACAAGCAAUUGAUGCAAGAUUUUGAAGGCAAGUUUCCUACAAAACUACAAAUGGCUGAUUUUAUGCAUCCAUACAAUCCUAUCUACUUGUAGAAACUGAUUUCUAUUACCAUUGGUCUAAACAACAUGUUAAGUCAUUCCUACUUGUUUGAUGUAAUGAAGAGAUAAGGCAUACCCAAA